rnacentral:rRNA from 1 species
UCGAGGAUCUUCGGCAAUGGGCGCAAGCCUGACCGAGCGACGCCGCGUGUGCGAUGAAGGCCUUCGGGUUGUAAAGCACUGUCGAGGGGGAGAAAAGCCGCAAGGCUUGAUCGACCCCUGGAGGAAGCACGGGCUAAGUUCGUGCCAGCAGCCGCGGUAAGACGAACCGUGCGAACGUUGUUCGGAAUCACUGGGCUUAAAGGGCGCGUAGGCGGGCUUGCAAGUCAGGGGUGAAAUCCCACGGCUUAACCGUGGAAGUGCCUUUGAUACUGCGGGUCUUGAGGGAGGUAGGGGCGUGCGGAACUUCCGGUGGAGCGGUGAAAUGCGUAGAUAUCGGAAGGAACACCGGUGGCGAAAGCGGCGCGCUGGACCUCUACUGACGCUGAGGCGCGAAAGCCAGGGGAGCAAACGG